GACGAACGCUGGCGGCGUGCUUAACACAUGCAAGUCGAACGAUGAAGAAAAGAAUUGAAGCUUCGGCAGAGAUUCAUUUCGGAUUAGUGGCAGACGGGUGAGUAACGCGUGAGCAACCUACCUCUUACAAAGGGAUAGCCUCGGGAAACCGGGAUUAAUACCAUAUAACAUUGCGACGAAGCAUUUCGAUGCAAUCAAAGCUACGGCGGUAAGAGAUGGGCUCGCGUCCCAUUAACCAGAUGGUGAGGUAACGGCUCACCAUAGUAACGAUGGGUAACCGGCCUGAGAGGGUGAACGGUCACACUGGAACUGAGACACGGUCCAGACUCCUACGGGAGGCAGCAGUGGGGAAUAUUGCACAAUGGAGGGAACUCUGAUGCAGCGACGCCGCGUGAGUGAUGAAGGAAUUCGUUUCGUAAAACUCUGUUCUAUGGGAAGAAAAGGACUGUACCAUAGGAGAAAGCUCCGGCUAAAUACGUGCCAGCAGCCGCGGUAAUACGUAUGGAGCGAGCGUUGUCCGGAAUUAUUGGGCGUAAAGGGUACGUAGGCGGUUUUUUAAGUCAGGUGUGAAAGCGUGAGGCUUAACCUCAUUAAGCACUUGAAACUGGAAGACUUGAGUGAAGGAGAGGAAAGUGGAAUUCCUAGUGUAGCGGUGAAAUGCGUAGAUAUUAGGAGGAAUACCGGUGGCGAAGGCGACUUUCUGGACUUUUACUGACGCUCAGGUACGAAAGCGUGGGGAGCAAACAGG
rnacentral:rRNA from 1 species